rnacentral:rRNA from 1 species
UACAGAGGGGGCAAGCGUUGUUCGGAAUUACUGGGCGUAAAGGGCGCGUAGGCGGCCUGUUAAGUCGAACGUGAAAUCCCCGGGCUCAACCCGGGAACUGCGUCCGAUACUGGCAGGCUUGAAUUCGGGAGAGGGAUGCGGAAUUCCAGGUGUAGCGGUGAAAUGCGUAGAUAUCGAGAGGAACACCAGUGGCGAAGGCGAGUCUCUGGACGACACCUGACACUGAGGCACGAAAGCUAGGGGAGCAAACAGG